AGUGAGAGAAAAAUGAAUUAAUGCUCCAUCAGAUCCCAUCUGAUUUUGGAAGCUAAGCAAACAUAGCUCAGGUUAGUACAUGGAUGGGAGAUCAUCAAUGAAUGCCAGGUUCUAUGAGGU
rnacentral:rRNA from 11 species